UGUUAAUAAAUCAAAAAAAAAAAAAGAAAAAAAUAUGUACAUAGGAAAGUGCCUUAAGUAAGUAAGAUUCGAAAUGAAUUGUGUUAAACCGAUGAAACUAUUUUUUCUACUUUAUACUUUUUAACGACUAUUUAAGAAACAUUUUUACUAUUUAUAUCGUACAAUGUCGUCCAUUAUAAUGUUAAGAAUCACGUAAGGCAAUACGCUU